rnacentral:pre_miRNA from 1 species
GUUGCUCACUCUCCCUCAAGGGCUUCUAGCAAUGUCAGAAAUGAUGAACUCGAAGCCUUUGGAGAGAGUAAACAA